rnacentral:lncRNA from 1 species
AUCAGUACAACGUUCUGUUUGAACACUGAAAAUGCCAUCUCUAAGCAUUUAAUCAUGAAUGUGUGGUCAUUUCAGACAACGGCAAGCUGGUGGGAGGGAGGCUACUUUUCCAGAUGACUGGAGUGAAACUUGGCACUGCUCCUUGCUGCAACUGGCUUUAACAGCGCAAACAUUUCUUCCCAACUGGUACAGACUGACUCUUCUCACAUAUCAGAGCAGACUAGGAAAAUCACCGUGUGUGAACAAGAACUUGGAAAAGAGCAGAGCCCAAAGACUCCACCCCUGCCACACUCGCUGCAUACAGCUAACCAGCAGGCCGGUGUGUGUUCAAGACCUACGCUUAGACGUGGCAAAAAGCCACAAAACUGUACCAUUUAGGGCACGUCAUCCAAGCAAACGGAGAAAUUCCAGAGAAGACCUGCAAAAGUUUAGAAAACAUGAAAACAGAAUUGUCUUCAGAAAAUAAGACGGAAGAAAUUUGAGAUACUUAGUCUAGAGGGGAGACAUGAUAAUACUCUUUGCAUACAUAAAAGUCUGCUGCAAACAAGAAAAAAAGAAAGAAAGGAAGAAAGUGCUCUCUACUGUUAACAGGACAAGAAGUCAUCAGUUUUAAACUGCAGAAAAUGAGACGUCAAUUAGGAAAUCAGUCUAGGAGUAAAGAAGUGCUGAAACAUGGUGCCUCGGUGAUCAUGGAAGCUCUGUCUCUGAAGGUGUAAGAACAGGUGAAACUAUUCUGAGUCAAAACUAAUGAUGAGCCCCCUGAGUCUGCUUUUAGCCAAGCAGAUGGAUUAAAUAACCUUUUGAAGCCUCUUUCAGAAUAAUCUGAUACAUAUAAAAAUCAAAGACCCACUAAGUAAAGAUCUUGCCUAUGAUCUGGCAUCUUUUUAUAUGCAACUUAUGAAUUCCUAUCUAUCAACUUGCUCUAUAGAGCAA